ACUUGUCUAGCUCAGUUGGUAAAAUACAAGGCUCUUAACAUUGUGGUCGUGGGUUCGAGCUCCAUGGUUGGUG
rnacentral:tRNA from 7 species